GACUCGUCACACUAUCAUUAACUGAAUCCAUAGGUUAAUGAGGCGAACCGGGGGAACUGAAACAUCUAAGUACCCCGAGGAAAAGAAAUCAACCGAGAUUCCCCCAGUAGCGGCGAGCGAACGGGGAGGAGCCCAGAGCCUGAAUCAGCAUGUGUGUUAGUGGAAGCGUCUGGAAAGGCGCGCGAUACAGGGUGACAGCCCCGUACACAAAAGCGCAUGUGCUGUGAGCUCGAUGAGUAGGGCGGGACACGUGGUAUCCUGUCUGAAUAUGGGGGGACCAUCCUCCAAGGCUAAAUACUCCUGACUGACCGAUAGUGAACCAGUACCGUGAGGGAAAGGCGAAAAGAACCCCGGCGAGGGGAGUGAAAAAGAACCUGAAACCGUGUACGUACAAGCAGUGGGAGCACCCUUUGGGUGUGACUGCGUACCUUUUGUAUAAUGGGUCAGCGACUUAUAUUCUGUAGCAAGGUUAACCGAAUAGGGGAGCCGGAGGGAAACCGAGUCUUAAUUGGGCGUUAAGUUGCAGGGUAUAGACCCGAAACCCGGUGAUCUAGCCAUGGGCAGGUUGAAGGUUGGGUAACACUAACUGGAGGACCGAACCGACUAAUGUUGAAAAAUUAGCGGAUGACCUGUGGCUGGGGGUGAAAGGCCAAUCAAACCGGGAGAUAGCUGGUUCUCCCCGAAAGCUAUUUAGGUAGCGCCUCGUGAAUUCAUCUCCGGGGGUAGAGCACUGUUUCGGCUAGGGGGCCAUCCCGGCUUACCAACCCGAUGCAAACUGCGAAUACCGGAGAAUGUUAUCACGGGAGACACACGGCGGGUGCUAACGUCCGUCGUGAAGAGGGAAACAACCCAGACCGCCAGCUAAGGUCCCAAAGUCAUGGUUAAGUGGGAAACGAUGUGGGAAGGCCCAGACAGCCAGGAUGUUGGCUUAGAAGCAGCCAUCAUUUAAAGAAAGCGUAAUAGCUCACUGGUCGAGUCGGCCUGCGCGGAAGAUGUAACGGGGCUAAACCAUGCACCGAAGCUGCGGCAGCGACACUGUGUGUUGUUGGGUAGGGGAGCGUUCUGUAAGCCUGUGAAGGUGUGUCGUGAGGCAUGCUGGAGGUAUCAGAAGUGCGAAUGCUGACAUAAGUAACGAUAAAGCGGGUGAAAAGCCCGCUCGCCGGAAGACCAAGGGUUCCUGUCCAACGUUAAUCGGGGCAGGGUGAGUCGACCCCUAAGGCGAGGCCGAAAGGCGUAGUCGAUGGGAAACGGGUUAAUAUUCCCGUACUUGGUGUUACUGCGAAGGGGGGACGGAGAAGGCUAUGUUGGCCGGGCGACGGUUGUCCCGGUUUAAGCGUGUAGGUGUGUGUUCCAGGUAAAUCCGGUUCACUUUAACACUGAGGCGUGACGACGAGGCACUACGGUGCUGAAGCAACAAAUGCCCUGCUUCCAGGAAAAGCCUCUAAGCAUCAGGUAACAUCAAAUCGUACCCCAAACCGACACAGGUGGUCAGGUAGAGAAUACCAAGGCGCUUGAGAGAACUCGGGUGAAGGAACUAGGCAAAAUGGUGCCGUAACUUCGGGAGAAGGCACGCUGACACGUAGGUGAAGUGAUUUACUCAUGGAGCUGAAGUCAGUCGAAGAUACCAGCUGGCUGCAACUGUUUAUUAAAAACACAGCACUGUGCAAACACGAAAGUGGACGUAUACGGUGUGACGCCUGCCCGGUGCCGGAAGGUUAAUUGAUGGGGUCAGCGCAAGCGAAGCUCCUGAUCGAAGCCCCGGUAAACGGCGGCCGUAACUAUAACGGUCCUAAGGUAGCGAAAUUCCUUGUCGGGUAAGUUCCGACCUGCACGAAUGGCGUAAUGAUGGCCAGGCUGUCUCCACCCGAGACUCAGUGAAAUUGAACUCGCUGUGAAGAUGCAGUGUACCCGCGGCAAGACGGAAAGACCCCGUGAACCUUUACUAUAGCUUGACACUGAACAUUGAGCCUUGAUGUGUAGGAUAGGUGGGAGGCUUUGAAGUGUGGACGCCAGUCUGCAUGGAGCCGACCUUGAAAUACCACCCUUUAAUGUUUGAUGUUCUAACGUGGACCCGUUACCCGGGUUGCGGACAGUGUCUGGUGGGUAGUUUGACUGGGGCGGUCUCCUCCUAAAGAGUAACGGAGGAGCACGAAGGUUGGCUAAUCCUGGUCGGACAUCAGGAGGUUAGUGCAAUGGCAUAAGCCAGCUUGACUGCGAGCGUGACGGCGCGAGCAGGUGCGAAAGCAGGUCAUAGUGAUCCGGUGGUUCUGAAUGGAAGGGCCAUCGCUCAACGGAUAAAAGGUACUCCGGGGAUAACAGGCUGAUACCGCCCAAGAGUUCAUAUCGACGGCGGUGUUUGGCACCUCGAUGUCGGCUCAUCACAUCCUGGGGCUGAAGUAGGUCCCAAGGGUAUGGCUGUUCGCCAUUUAAAGUGGUACGCGAGCUGGGUUUAGAACGUCGUGAGACAGUUCGGUCCCUAUCUGCCGUGGGCGCUGGAGAACUGAGGGGGGCUGCUCCUAGUACGAGAGGACCGGAGUGGACGCAUCACUGGUGUUCGGGUUGUCAUGCCAAUGGCACUGCCCGGUAGCUAAAUGCGGAAGAGAUAAGUGCUGAAAGCAUCUAAGCACGAAACUUGCCCCGA
rnacentral:rRNA from 1 species